rnacentral:lncRNA from 1 species
UUUUUUUUUGUUUUUUAUUUACUUUCAGUUAUGUAUCCAAUUAUUUAAAUAAAUAUAUACAGAAAAUUACAUUUUUCAUAAAAAUUAAAACGGUAAUUAAAUUUUUUUAAAAAGUAAAUGUUCAUAAACAAAAUAUUUCUCAUUUAUACACAAAAUACAAUGUGUGUGAACAAAGGUUUUCAUGUAUUUAAAAAAUAUUAAUCAACCAUUUGAGAAAAAGAAAAGCACCUAAAAACGUUAAAUGUGUAUAGAAAAAAUGUUGACCAUGUAUUAAAAGAAUGUUUAACAUGCUUUUAAAAAAAAUUAAUCCGACAUUUAAAAAAGGUUAAAUGUGUAUUUUUUUUUGAACAUGUAUUAAAAAAUGUUAAAAGUUUUAUAUGAAAAAUGUUAAUCAAACAUUAGAAAGAUGUUAAAUGUAUAUAGAAUUUCUUUGACCAAGUAUUAAAAAAAUAUCUUGCAUUUGAGAAUAAUGUGAAUAAGUAUUAAAUGUGUAUAGAAAAAUGUUUUCCAUGCUUUAAAAAAAUUAAUAGUGUAUUUGAAUAUUUAGAUCAAGAAUUUAAAAAAUAUUCAAAAUAUGCAUAGAAAUAAUGUUAACCAUGCAAUAAAAUUCUGAGAAAUAAAUAAAGAGAAAGAAGGAAACCAAUGAAACCUAGGAAAUAAACGGAAUUAAAACGAAGAAAGUAAACCAAAAAUGAAAGAUAGCAAAAAGAAAUAAGAAAGCUGAGCAAGAAACAAAGGAAGACGAAAAGAAAAAGGAAAUACUAGUGAAAGCCGUGAAAGAACAAAGAAAACCGGUGAAAAAACAAAGAAAAAUGUUAGGCUAAAGAAAACCAUUGAAGAAAUAGAGAAAACUAAAAAGAAAAAAGAAAAAAGGGAAGAAAUCAGUAUGUCAGCCACCACGAGUGUUCUUCUCGAUCAGAAACAACAAAAGGAGUAAACACACGAAAAGCUAACCGAUCGAGUAAUGCAGUGGGGCGAAAAUACUUCAGACGAGACCAAAUUAACAUUUGCUCUGAGCAAGAUAUAACCUUUGCGCGCUCAAAGCUAUGAGUAGCGCCUUAAGCGAUUAGUAGGAUGGGCCAACUUUUAACACUAAGUCAAUCAUGCUCUAAAAUAGAUUAACGGGAGUGGGAACAAGAGACCUCCUAUUCCUCCUUGAACUACGCAGGGAGAAACCAUUAACUUAAGGGGUCUAAAAGACUCCAAGUAUAUCAAGUAGGUUCUAAAAUCUUUAAACCGUUCACCACGGGUCUUAUAUAUGUAUUUUACCCACAAUUUUUAUGACCUACUUCACAGACUUGAAAUACUUUUAGGAGACAAGUGAAUUUAAAAUACUUUUAGGACCUACGGUAAAUGACUUACACACAUUUAGACAUUUAGGUCCGUGAUGAAUGAACGAUUUUAAACUUUUAGUACCUACUUGACACUCUUGAAAUAUUUGUAGGACCUAUUUUACUCUUUUAAAAUAUGUUAAUAAUUUUCAAAAAAAUGUUUCCAUAAUUCAAAAAUGUUCAUGAUUUGAAAAAAUAUGCACGAAUUUAAAAAUUGUUCACAGUUUCGAGAAAUGUUUAAUUCAAAAAAAUGGUUACCGUUUUAAAAAAUGUUACUGGAUUUCACAAAAUGUUCAUGAUUUAAUAAAUAAAAAAUAAAAGUAAAAUAAAAAUAGAAAUUUAAAAAAGAAGGGAAAGAACGAAGGUGAACAAAAAACAUUACAAACCCAAAAGAAAGAAAAAAACUUUCCUAAAACCGGAAAAGAGCUAGGCCGGACCAUGUGAAGAGAACGGCUUCUGUUUUUUGCAAGUUCAAACCGGACUGAAAUGCUCGCAGCUCUGUGGAUCCACUGGCCUUCAGCUGCGUUGCAAUGGACCAUGGCAAGAUUUACAGGUAAAAAAAGAACGCGGAGUUCAUCGCUGAAACAAAAGGAGUCGAUUUUUUUGUUUCUCUUCAGGUGUAAAUCCACGAUCUUUUAUCUGCCACCAUCCAAAGUCAUGUUUCUUAAUUACUACUCCUUUUGUUUCACCUUCUGUUCUUCAGGAGUACAUCUGUAAAGAAAUACUCCGAGCAUUAACCCCUUUCCAUUAUUAUUUUUAGCGAAAAUACAAAGUUCCAGAACAGGAGACAGGAGAGGGCUAAGCGAGUUCUGCACUAACAGGAAACCCCACUACCUGCGCCUGCAGUCAACACCGCUGUGAUUCACCUGCCAUUACAAUUAAAAUUACCUAGCCAUUAUUUAGUUUCCAGAUCAACACAGGCUACACAAGUUGCGAGUCACAUCGCUGCGAUUCAGCUGCCGAGCGAUUGACAUAGCUGUGCGUGCUCCUCGCAGUGUCACGCCUUGCGGAGCUGGUGCAUGGUCUUCAAGGCGGAGAUGGCCGUGGCCGGGUCGAGGCUCUUGGG